CACUCCUACGGGAGGCAGCAGUGGGGAAUAUUGGACAAUGGGCGCAAGCCUGAUCCAGCCAUGCCGCGUGAGUGAUGAAGGCCCUAGGGUUGUAAAGCUCUUUCACCGGUGAAGAUAAUGACGGUAACCGGAGAAGAAGCCCCGGCUAACUUCGUGCCAGCAGCCGCGGUAAUACGAAGGGGGCUAGCGUUGUUCGGAUUUACUGGGCGUAAAGCGCACGUAGGCGGACUAUUAAGUCAGGGGUGAAAUCCCGGGGCUCAACCCCGGAACUGCCUUUGAUACUGGUAGUCUUGAGUUCGAGAGAGGUGAGUGGGAUUCCGAGUGUAGAGGUGAAAUUCGUAGAUAUUCGGAGGAACACCAGUGGCGAAGGCGGCUCACUGGCUCGAUACUGACGCUGAGGUGCGAAAGCGUGGGGAGCAAACAGGAUUAGAUACCCCGGUAGUCCC
rnacentral:rRNA from 1 species